rnacentral:rRNA from 1 species
CACGUAGGGGGCAAGCGUUGUCCGGAUUCAUUGGGCGUAAAGAGCUCGUAGGCGGUUCGAUAAGUCGGGUGUGAAACCUCCAGGCUCAACCUGGAGACGCCACCCGAUACUGUCGUGACUAGAGUCCAGUAGGGGAGCGUGGAAUUCCUGGUGUAGCGGUGAAAUGCGUAGAUAUCGGAAGGAACAUCAGUGGCGAAAGCGGCUUCCUGGACCAGAACUGACGAUCAGGCUCGAAAGCGUGGGGAGCAAACAGG